rnacentral:pre_miRNA from 1 species
UCUUAUGGCUGAGCAAAGAAAGUAGUUCCUUGAGAUAGAAUCUACUCUUGGUGAAAAUACUGUGAA